AGGUAGAUAGUAGACUAGGGUUUUGAGUUCAUCUUCCUUCUUCUUCGACAUUCCGCCGCCCCCCUCCUCUCAUCUGUUCAACUUCAACCUUUUAGAAAAAUAGUACUUCCACCACAAUAUUCAACCUUUGAUGUCUUCAUCAUCGCCACAUUCAUAUCUCCUGCUCAAUCUCUUCUCCUAAUGUUACCCUUACUCACAUAUUAGUUUUCAAACCCAAACCCUAACCCCCAAAUUCAUAAAAGAUCGCAAUGAAACACUUGAAGAACAUCUUCCUACUAUUUGUCUAGAAGCUACGUCUUUUAUUGAGGUGAUUUCUGUGUUGAAUCAGAGCCUUCUUACUAUAGGGGUGCUAUAGGAGGGACAUCACUGAAUGAAGCAAGCUCUAUAUCUCAUCAGAUUCUCAGAUUGGUAUGAUAUGUUGUUAUUUUUGUUGACAAACUUAGUGAAUGAAUCAAGCUCUAAAACUCAUCAGAUUCUUCACUGGUUUUGAUAUGUACUCAUCUAUUUUGCCUCUAUUUUUAUUUUUAAUUUUGUUUGAGGUAAGAAUGAAGCAAGCUCUAAAAGUCAUCAGAUUCUUCACUGGUUUGAUAUGUACUCAUCUAUUUUUCCUCUAUUUUUGUUUUUAAUUUUGUUUGAGGUAAGAGUGGAAGCAAAGCACAGAGGUGAAUGCUUGUUUAAAGAUGUUGAAGAGGUGUGUGUAAUAAAGAAGUGGAGUUGGGUUCCAUUCUUGGGAAGGGUUCAUUCCUUGAUGUAUGCAACAAAAAAAAAUAAGAGCUGUGAACAAUAUUGAUUUCAUUUUAUAUGUAUUCAUCUAAUUUUCCUCUAAUUUCAUUAUGCAGGUUAAUAUGCAAUCUCACCUAAUAUAAACAUGAUGUAAAGUUGAUGAGGGGUUAAUAUUGACUUAAUAUGCAAUUUCUAAUAUCAUUAAAUUGUCUGACAAUUUGAUUUUUUUAUUAUUUCAUCAGAGGGUAUUCUUGGAAGGAAAUCCUUACCUCCUAGGAAUUACCAUGAUUGUUUCUCUUCUUCAGUCAGUAUUUGACUUUCUGGCUUUUAAGAGUGGUGAACAUGGUGGCUAAAUAUAGAUGCAAGUGAGAAACUGUGAGUUUGUUGUAGAUUUGAAACUUGCUUCUUUGGCCAUGGUGAGUCUGUUGAAGAUAAAAAAUGGAAUGAAAUAGCAAAUGGAGAAAAAGUGUAUGGAACUUGUUGAAGAUAUUAUGAAGGUGUGAAAUAAAGAAGGCUGUUUUGUUUCAGGUGUGAAAUAAAGAUCCAUGUUUAAUCAUGUCAUUAAUUUUUUUAAAGUUGGGUAAUAGUAUUGAUUUUCUUUUAAUUUCACUAAAGACUGACUUCAAUGUCUUGUUUAAAGAUGUUGCAUUCUUAGUUUUUUUUGUGUGCAUUGUUAAUUUAAUUCUUAUUUUAUUAAAUUUGUAAUUUAUGUAGUGAAAGAUUUAGUUUCCAAUUUCAUAGUAAAUUUGUAAUAUUAAAUUUGUUAUUAGAAGAAUAAAUUUGUAAUUUUGGAUGAUACAGUAUCCAAAUAUUUUAAAAUUAUUCUAUGUUUAUUUUGAGUGGUGUAGUUAUUAGUUUUAAUAAGAAUUUUAAAAGCAGAAAAAAAUUCAGAUGAAAUAAUUAUUCGGGCUGAAUUUCAUAUGGGCCCAAUUGCAAACUAAAUCCGAAAUAAAUCGGUCUAGUUAUUCGAACCCGGUUUAGUCCGUACCCGAAUAAACCGAGGGUUGGGCCGGAUUGAGGUUUUGGGCCCGAACCCGAUCCGGCCCGAACCGAUGUCCACCCCUACCCCGUAUGUUUCCAAUUUUUUUUGAGAGUAUCUAAAUUACAAAUUUGUUGGUGUUAGGAUAAAAGAAGAUGUGCACAAACUUUUUGGAGAUUUUUCUUUUGCGUGCGGUAAAUAGCACUUAAAACAUUGGCAUGUGGUAUUCUUGGUAAAGAGGUUGAAAAACAAAAAAAAAACAUUACUUUGGAUAUUUGGAGUAAUUUUCCACUUACUUUUAUAUCAUUUGAAAUUGGGAGCUUUA